rnacentral:rRNA from 1 species
CGGCGGACGGGUGAGUAAUGCCUAGGAAUCUGCCUGGUAGUGGGGGACAACGUUUCGAAAGGAACGCUAAUACCGCAUACGUCCUACGGGAGAAAGCAGGGGACCUUCGGGCCUUGCGCUAUCAGAUGAGCCUAGGUCGGAUUAGCUAGUUGGUGAGGUAAUGGCUCACCAAGGCGACGAUCCGUAACUGGUCUGAGAGGAUGAUCAGUCACACUGGAACUGAGACACGGUCCAGACUCCUACGGGAGGCGCAGCC